UUAAAGGAAUUGACGGGGAGCACCACAACGGGUGGAGCUUGCGGUUUAAUUGGAUUCAACGCCGGAAUCUUACCGGGACCGACAGCAAUAUGAAGGCCAGGCUGAAGACUUUGCCGGAUUAGCUGAGAGGUGGUGCAUGGCCGUCGUCAGUUCGUACUGUGAAGCAUCCUGUUAAGUCAGGCAACGAGCGAGACCCACGCCCACAGUUGCCAGCGUACUCUCUGGAGUGACGGGUACACUGUGGGGACCGCCGCUGCUAAAGCGGAGGAAGGAAUGGGCAACGGUAGGUCAGUAUGCCCCGAAUAUCCCGGGCUACACGCGAGCUACAAUGGUUGGUACAAUGGGUAUCUACCCCGAAAGGGGACGGGAAUCUCCUAAAACCAAUCUUAGUUCGGAUUGAGGGCUGCAACUCGCCCUCAUGAAGCUGGAAUCUGUAGUAAUCGUGUCUCAAAAUGGCACGGUGAAUAUGUCCCUGCUCCUU
rnacentral:rRNA from 1 species